AUGCGCGACUGUCUGCGCUUUCCGCCGGCGCCGGAGCCGACGCCGAUGGACCGCCCGCUGCACUGUGACCCCGCGCGGCAGCCUCGCUCCAGCAACAAGGUGAUCAUGGCGACUCCGGCCCUCGAGCGCGACGAGUUCAUCCUACGCCAGCACGUCGUCACGCUCACCGCGCAUGAUCGCCGCCACUCCUCCAACCCCAUGGCGGUCGACAAGGCCAUCUUCGAGCAACUCAGCACUCCGGCCCACCUGCUCCGCGUCACCGCACACCACCUGGAGGCCUUCCUCGUCCACUUCGACCUCCCCGCGCACUGGGACGACGCGGUGCGGCGCUGCGUGCUCAAGGUCGACGGCGGCAAGUACUUCGUCUGA
rnacentral:rRNA from 1 species